AGUUCCGGCAGAGAGCGCGGCUAGAAGCGGAUCGUGGCCUUCUACCCUGGGGCCCUCCAGGCCCUCCGGCCUUUGGUCGGCCUUGGGGCCACGCGGAUCCGCGACCUGAGGUGACCGCUCUGUCCCAGUUGGACGAGACCUCACCUCGUCCGGACAACGACGGACAAAGGCCUUAACGUGCCCGCAAGAAGCAACUUCCGGAGCCACCGAAGUCCCCGUUUGUUCAGUGGGUUGGAGGACGUCGAAUGGAAGACCUUGAGGAGGAAGAAUAGAAAGUUCUGUGCCAGACUGGUCAUACUUAGAAGACAUUUCUAUAUAACCCUUGUUG
ensembl:lncRNA